rnacentral:misc_RNA from 1 species
UUUCCGUAGGUGAACCUGCGGAAGGAUCAUUCAUAAUAAGUGUUUUAUGGCACUUUUUUAAAUCCAUAUCCACCUUUGUGCAAUGUCAGGGUUGAUUUUUCUCUCGAGAGGAUCAGCCCCAAACAUCAACUAUAUCUCAACUCUUUGUCUGAAAAAUAUUAUGAAUAAAACAAUUCAAAAUACAACUUUCAACAACGGAUCUCUUGGCUCUC